GAUGAACGCUGGCGGCGUGCCUAAUACAUGCAAGUCGAGCGAACAGACGAGGAGCUUGCUCCUCUGAUGUUAGCGGCGGACGGGUGAGUAACACGUGGAUAACCUACCUAUAAGACUGGGAUAACUUCGGGAAACCGGAGCUAAUACCGGAUAAUAUAUUGAACCGCAUGGUUCAAUAGUGAAAGACGGUCUUGCUGUCACUUAUAGAUGGAUCCGCGCUGCAUUAGCUAGUUGGUAAGGUAACGGCUUACCAAGGCAACGAUGCGUAGCCGACCUGAGAGGGUGAUCGGCCACACUGGAACUGAGACACGGUCCAGACUCCUACGGGAGGCAGCAGUAGGGAAUCUUCCGCAAUGGGCGAAAGCCUGACGGAGCAACGCCGCGUGAGUGAUGAAGGUCUUCGGAUCGUAAAACUCUGUUAUUAGGGAAGAACAAAUGUGUAAGUAACUGUGCACGUCUUGACGGUACCUAAUCAGAAAGCCACGGCUAACUACGUG
rnacentral:rRNA from 1 species